AUCGCAAGUUCCUCCGCUCACAGAUCGUGAACCUCACUGGCGCUCGCUUGGUUUCAGUGCCUGAAGCUAGCACAUCAGUGUUGUCUGAGUCCAGGUCACGGAGGAGGCGGCAUAAGUGCUCGUCCAGCUCAUAUGUCAGUGAUGAUAGCAUCACUGAUGAAUCUUCAUCUGAAGAGUCCAGCAGAAUCAGAAAAAAGAGAUGCCACAAGAAGAAAGCGAAGAGAGGGUGUGUUCCCCAUUGUGACUAGGUUGUGAUCAGCCUUUAUCAAAAAGAAGAGCAUGAGUAGGACUUUCUGCCCAAGUGCGUCAAUAAGGUUUACAGGGCCCGGGAGAGUUUUUUGAUGAACGAGCCUCCAUAUGCCCAGGAGGACAGUAGGCUAUUUGAACCUUCCCUGACAACGUCUCCAACACUGCCCUCAUCGCAGAAUUGCACCAGAUUGCUAACAAAUCUGUUUGGGUCUGAUCAGGACUUGUGAGGAAACAUUCAUCCACUAUGACCAGCAGUGUGUCCUCUCUCCAGAGCAGAGCAGUUCAGGUUGUAAUUCAGUAUCCCAGAAAAGACAUACUGUAACAUCUGAGUCUUGCUUAAGUGGGUUUUUGAUUUCUGAGUACAUAUGUGUGAGAUCAUCUUGUUGCUUUUAACAGUUUGCCAAAUGUAAAUUUACGUUCUUGUACUGAUGUAAACAAUGAUUUUCAUAUAAAAACUGCUAUUGAAAACUAUUAAUAAAACCCUAACACCUUGACAAA